rnacentral:rRNA from 2 species
ACGGAAGGCAGCAGUGGGGAAUAUUGCACAAUGGGGGAAACCCUGAUGCAGCGACGCCGCGUGAGUGAAGAAGUAUUUCGGUAUGUAAAGCUCUAUCAGCAGGGAAGAAAAUGACGGUACCUGACUAAGAAGCCCCGGCUAACUACGUGCCAGCAGCCGCGGUAAUACGUAGGGGGCAAGCGUUAUCCGGAUUUACUGGGUGUAAAGGGAGCGUAGACGGUUCUGCAAGUCUGAUGUGAAAGGCAGGGGCUCAACUCCUGGACUGCAUUGGAAACUGUAGAACUAGAGUGCUGGAGAGGUAAGCGGAAUUCCUAGUGUAGCGGUGAAAUGCGUAGAUAUUAGGAGGAACACCAGUGGCGAAGGCGGCUUACUGGACGGUAACUGACGUUGAGGCUCGAAAGCGUGGGGAGCAAACAGGAUUAGAUACCCUGGUA